CUCCUCCGGGAGUGUUAUAGCCCGUUGCGUAAUACCCUGCGGUGGACUGAGGUCCGCGCUUCUGCAAGGAUGCUGGCGUAAUGGUCAUCAACGACCCGUCUUGAAACACGGACCAAAGAGUCGUCUUCGUAUGCGAGUGUUCGGGUGUAAAACCCCUACGCGUAAUGAAAGUGAACGCAGGUGAGAGCUUCGGCGCAUCAUCGACCGAUCCUGAUGUUCUCGGAUGGAUUUGAGUAAGAGCAUACGGGGCCGGACCCGAAAGAAGGUGAACUAUGCCUGUAUAGGGUGAAGCCAGAGGAAACUCUGGUGGAGGCUCGCAGCGGUUCUGACGUGCAAAUCGAUCGUCAAAUAUGGGCAUGGGGGCGAAAGACUAAUCGAACCUUCUAGUAGCUGGUUUCCGCCGAAGUUUCCCUCAGGAUAGCAGUGUUGAACUCAGUUUUAUGAGGUAAAGCGAAUGAUUAGGGACUCGGGGGCGCUAUUUAGCCUUCAUCCAUUCUCAAACUUUAAAUAUGUAAGAAGCCCUUGUUACUUAAUUGAACGUGGGCAUUCGAAUGUAUCAACACUAGUGGGCCAUUUUUGGUAAGCAGAACUGGCGAUGCGGGAUGAACCGAACGCGAGGUUAAGGUGCCGGAGUAGACGCUCAUCAGACACCACAAAAGGUGUUAGUACAUCUUGACAGCAGGACGGUGGCCAUGGAAGUCGGAAUCCGCUAAGGACUGUGUAACAACUCACCUGCCGAAUGUACUAGCCCUGAAAAUGGAUGGCGCUCAAGCGUCUCACCCAUACCUCGCCCUCAGGGUAGAAACGAUGCCCUGAGGAGUAGGCGGACGUGGAGGUCGUGACGAAGCC
rnacentral:rRNA from 1 species